rnacentral:rRNA from 1 species
AUUGAACGCUGGCGGCAGGCUUAACACAUGCAAGUCGAGCGGAGAUGAGGUGCUUGCACCUUAUCUUAGCGGCGGACGGGUGAGUAAUGCUUAGGAAUCUGCCUAUUAGUGGGGGACAACAUUCCGAAAGGAAUGCUAAUACCGCAUACGUCCUACGGGAGAAAGCAGGGGAUCUUCGGACCUUGCGCUAAUAGAUGAGCCUAAGUCGGAUUAGCUAGUUGGUGGGGUAAAGGCCUACCAAGGCGACGAUCUGUAGCGGGUCUGAGAGGAUGAGCCGCCACACUGGGACUGAGACACGGACCAGACGCCUACGGGAGGCAGCAGUGGGGAAUAUUGGACAAUGGGGGGAACCCUGAUCUAGCCAUGCCGCGUGUGUGAAGAAGGCCUUAUGGUUGUAAAGCACUUUAAGCGAGGAGGAGGCUACUGAGACUAAUACUCUUGGAUAGUGGACGUUACUCGCAGAAUAAGCACCGGCUAACUCUGUGCCAGCCGCCGCAGUAACAC